rnacentral:rRNA from 1 species
UACGGGGGGAGCAAGCGUUGUUCGGAUUUACUGGGCGUAAAGGGCGCGUAGGCGGUCGUGACAAGUCACUUGUGAAAUCUCCGGGCUUAACUCGGAACGGUCAAGUGAUACUGUCGGACUAGAGUACAGAAGGGGCAACUGGAAUUCUCGGUGUAGCGGUGAAAUGCGUAGAUAUCGGGAGGAACACCAGUGGCAAAGGCGACUACCUGGCCUGUUCUUGACGCUGAGGCGCGAAGGCCAGGGGAGCAAACGGG